rnacentral:lncRNA from 1 species
CCGCACCGAAACGCGGUCUUUCUCUAGACGCGUCUUGCUGGGAGAGUGUCCGUUGCUUCCCGUCCGUGUCGCGGCCCUGCGGUUGGCGGCCUCCUCGUGGAGCGGAGCAAGGGCGGCCCCUGCUCGAGUCCCGCGUCGCCAUGGCCGCGGUUCCCGAGUUGCUGCAGCAGCAGGAGGAGGACCGCAGCAAGGCCGUGGCUGCUCGCCGCCAUCCCCAGCGCGGGAAGCACCCGUGAGACCCGGGCGGCCCCUCUCCCUGGUCUUCACUGAAGGCUGCCCCGGGGAAUCCCUGUGGAUGUCCCGGAUUCUAUUAGGACAGAACCAGAGACGCGGGACCUUAGCCCCAGCUCAGGCGCCGGUGCCGAGCGGACUUGGAGAGAUGAUCUCUGGAGACCCCGGAAUGUUCUUUUUAAAACUUUCCUCGGCUUCGUGGUGACCAGUAGGUGAACGUGAAAUUGACUUAACAUGCGACAGACCAGUUUGGUUUGUUGCCCCCAAAAUACCCUCCUUCCCCCCACCUUUUACUGAGAAGACUUUUUUGGGGGGGGGGCCCAAACAACUU